CCUACUGGGUGCUGCAGUGAGGAAUAUUGGUCAAUGGGCGGAAGCCUGAACCAGCCAAGUCGCGUGAGGGAAUAAGGCCCUACGGGUCGUAAACUUCUUUUGCCGGGGAGCAAGGGACGGGACGUGUCCCGGCCCGGAGAGUACCCGGAGAAAAAGCAUCGGCUAACUCCGUGCCAGCACCCGCGGUAAUACGGAGGAUGCGAGCGUUAUCCGGAUUUAUUGGGUUUAAAGGGUGCGUAGGCGGGCUUUUAAGUCAGCGGUAAAAAUUCGGGGCUCAACCCCGUACGGCCGUGGAAACUGGAGGCCUUGAGUGGACGAGAGGAAGGCGGAAUGCGUGGUGUAGCGGUGAAAUGCAUAGAUAUCACGCAGAACCCCGAUUGCGAAGGCAGCCUUCCGGCGCCCUACUGACGCUGAGGCACGAAAGUGCGGGGAUCGAACAGGAUUAGAUACCCGAGUAGUC
rnacentral:rRNA from 1 species